GUCAAUCUGCUCAAUGAAUUUUUAUUUAAAUAGCUGCAGUAUAUUGACUGUACAAAGGUAGCAUAAUAAAUUGUCUUUUAAUUGAAGAAUGGAAUGAAAGAAUUAAUGAAAUAUAAACUGUCUCUAAUAUAUAUAAUAAAAUUAAAUUUUUAGUUAAAAUGCUAAAAUUAAUUUAUGGGACGAUAAGACCCUAUAGAAUUUUAUAUUAUUAAUAAAAAUUUAAAUAAAAUUUAUUUUUAUUUUAUUGUAUAAUAUUUAAUUGGGAUGAUUAAUAAAUUUAAUUAACUUUAUUAAAUUAAAAACUUUGAUUUAAGAAAAUUAAAUUGAUAAAAUAAAAUAUUUAUUAUAGAUUAAAUUACCUUAGGGAUAACAGCGUAAUAUCUUUUAUGAGAUCAUAUUAAUAAAGAUGUUUGCGACCUCGAUGUUGAAUUAAGAUAAAUUUUAAAUGAAGAAAUUUAAUAAUUAAUCUG
rnacentral:rRNA from 1 species